CCGUCUUUGACCUCGGAUCAGGUAGGGAUACCCGCUGAACUUAAGCAUAUCA
rnacentral:rRNA from 1 species